UACGAAGGGGGCUAGCGUUGUUCGGAUUUACUGGGCGUGAAGCGCACGUAGGCGGAUCGUUAAGUCGGGGGUGAAAUCCUGGAGCUCAACUCCAGAACUGCCUUCGAUACUGGCGAUCUUGAGUCCGGAAGAGGUGAGUGGAACUCCUAGUGUAGAGGUGGAAUUCGUAGAUAUUAGGAAGAACACCAGUGGCGAAGGCGGCUCACUGGUCCGGUACUGACGCUGAGGUGCGAAAGCGUGGGGAGCAAACAGG
rnacentral:rRNA from 1 species